rnacentral:rRNA from 1 species
GAUGAACGCUGGCGGCGUGCCUAAUACAUGCAAGUCGAGCGAACAGACGAGGAGCUUGCUCCUCUGACGUUAGCGGCGGACGGGUGAGUAACACGUGGAUAACCUACCUAUAAGACUGGGAUAACUUCGGGAAACCGGAGCUAAUACCGGAUAAUAUAUUGAACCGCAUGGUUCAAUAGUGAAAGACGGUUUUGCUGUCACUUAUAGAUGGAUCCGCGCCGCAUUAGCUAGUUGGUAAGGUAACGGCUUACCAAGGCAACGAUGCGUAGCCGACCUGAGAGGGUGAUCGGCCACACGGGAACUGAGACACGGUCCAGACUCCUACGGGAGGCAGCAGUAGGGAAUCUUCCGCAAUGGGCGGAAGCCUGACGGAGCAACGCCGCGUGAGUGAUGAAGGUCUUCGGAUCGUAAAACUCUGUUAUUAGGGAAGAACAAAUGUGUAAGUAACUAUGCACGUCUUGACGGUACCUAAUCAGAAAGCCACGGCUAACUACGUG